AGCAAUGUUGUUUUCCGCAUUUUGCAGAUGAGGACACAGAGACACAGAAAGAUGGAGAAGCUUGCCCAGGGUUUAAGAAUUUAGCUGUCAGGAGACAAGAUGCAAAUCAAGGUUAUUCUACCUGUUAAUGGUUAUCUGGAAAGAGAUUUGUAAAAAUCCUUCAAAGUUUGCCAUAUUCCCAGAUGUUUGGUGUUUUUAUAAAUCAGACAAUAAUUCAUAAGGCAGCAAUUAUGGCCUAAUGCUAUGUCAAUCAAAGGAAUGAUUGGAUCCAAGACCAUCCCUGUCAUACAAUAGGCAACUACAUAAUGCUUGUUAGUAUGAAUUUACUUGAGUUCAUAUUAAAAAUGACUACAGAAUUAUUUAUUUGUCUUAUCCUUCUGUUACUUUGUGGCUUACGUGAUAUUGACUGAGGAUGGAGGAUAUUGAUUAAAAGUUGCCAUUAUUAUGUAUCAAGGCCAGCAAAGCAAUUAGAUCUCAAAUAUCCAGCUUACUCCUUUUUUGGUAAAUUUUUGUGGGUAUACAGUAAGUGUAUACACUUAGGAGGUACGUGAGAUAUUUUGAUACAGGCAUGCAAUGCACAAUAAUCAC